rnacentral:lncRNA from 1 species
GAUCAUGUAAACAAAUAAAGACAUCUCAUAUCGUUCGUACAACUAGAGAGAAAAUUCGAGUUUUAUACAAUUCAGUAAGUAGACGAGCAACAAGUUCUGAAGUACAUAGUUUGUUGGUUCAUGAUAUCGGAGCCAUCAUUCGGUCACACUGCCUGAUGAAUACGGGUUAUUGGGAGACCAUUUUUCCAAGUGAGAAGAAGGACCUUAUGGAUGAGAUCACGGUAAGCAUUUGUAAAUGUGUUUAUGCUGUUGGAAAUUUAAUAGCCAAAUAAAACUACAUGAAUCAAUUAAAAGCACAUUACUCAUUUUAUUUUGUGAUUUUAUUUAUUCUUACUUUGUGGUUUGUUAUCUAGAAUUGGAUAGUUUGUUCCAAUUAAGGUUUCUUUAUAUUUUAUGAUUUUUUUAAUUAUGUCAAUUUCAAACGAACUUCGAGAUAGAUUUGAAAAACUCAAGAUCGGCAAAUUAUAUUAAUAGACUAUACAAAGGGAGGUAUAGAGAGUUUAAGGCUGAGUUGAGUGCAUACUAUAAGUUGCAGAAGACACAUGAGAAUGCAUUAGCCAACCCUCCUUUGGAGAUGCUCGAUAGAGGUGUAAAUCAAUGGGUGGACCUGUGUAAUCAUUUGAACUCCAAUAAGAUCAAGGUAUUUAUUAUGUAAUUCUUUACCAGUUCAUAGCUUUUACUUCUAAUUUUGUUAUGUAAUAUCUAUAUAUUUUUCUUUGCAGAAAGCAUCAUCAGUAAACAUAGUGAAUUGAUCGAAGAAGAAGUACAAUCAUCGCACUGGUUCACGUCCUUUCUCAUACAUAGUGGAGAAGAUGGUUGAGGUAGUGAAUUUAUCAACACGACAUAAUUAAAUAAUUUUGCUAC